GGCAAGAUGGCCGAGUGGUUAAGGCGCUGUGUUAAGGAAUUGGGACUUCCAACGUCCCAGUCUUCGACCUCGCAGUGGGUAACCGCCUGGGUUCGAGUCCCAGUCUUGUCA